rnacentral:rRNA from 1 species
UACGUAGGGGGCGAGCGUUGUCCGGAUUCAUUGGGCGUAAAGCGCGCGCAGGCGGUUGGGAGAGCCCGGCGUGAAAGCCCCCAGCUCAACUGGGGGAGGCCGUCGGGGACCUUCCGACUGGAGGCCGGUAGGGGCGAGCGGAAUUCCCGGUGUAGUGGUGGAAUGCGUAGAUAUCGGGAGGAACACCAGUGGCGAAGGCGGCUCGCUGGACCGGUCCUGACGCUCAGGCGCGAAAGCGUGGGGAGCGAACAGG